AAUUACGUUUGACCAAUCAUCGCAUGAGCACGCACACAUAAGAAGCGAUUGCUUUCGUAAACUCGCUAUUUGUCAAUGCAACGUUUAAGCACGGAACGAUUCGAACUUUCUCUUCAAUCGAAGUCUUGAAACGGUUAUCAUCGAAAUGGACAAUAACGAAGGGAGAAAUCUGGGAUACCGUUUAUGCAGGAUUCUUUCCAAGUCUUUUUUAUUCAGUCCGCCAUAAAUACGGAAACACACGAUUGUACUAUCGGCGGGAACAAUAAAAGUAGACCUCCCGUAUAGGUUAAGUUUGGCCCGCUUACUAUCGGGCCGCAAGUUACGAUUAAAAGAGCGCGGCGCAGAUCCGCCCAGGCCGUGUUUCGAAUUCUCGGUUUCGAAGAAUACGACAGGGGUGACAGAGGGGUCAGAAGGCCAACUCUUCUCGAGAACUAAACGUCGGAAGCUCAAUUCUCCGAAUCCCAACUCGGAAGACUUUCGCGGAUUUAUGCUUAUCGUAAACAUCAUUGCAGACGAAUCUCGUAGCAACUCGAUUCAAUGGAUGAGAGAUCCGUAUGCUGAUAACUCGAAACAAACAACGAUACCACGCGAAGACAUAAAUACGAAUCGAAAUCUUCUUUCAAUUUAUGUUAUAAUAUUUCAAAUUUAUAAUUAAAAAAAAAUCCAAUAAAAAGAAAAGGAAAAAAGUGAUUCCAAAAUUUUUAAAAUUGGAAAGAGAGAUACAAUUAUCAACGAUCCCGAUUGUAAACUUUCGUCAAAGGCAACGAGGUUCCACACUCUCGACUUAUGGCCGGUUAAAGUCAAUUCGAUAGCAGUUAACGAAUUGUUGGGGGUGAAUAGAAGGGGUUUGCGGUUAACGCGAGGGGUUGACAGGGGAACGCAUAAUACAUUGUUACCCCAUCCACCGGAUUCAACUUCCCCUUCCACAUGCAGUAAUUUUCUCCGCGCGAAACUCGACAUCGGAGUGAACUAU